GAUGAACGCUGGCGGCGUGCUUAACACAUGCAAGUCGAACGAAACACCUUAUUUGAUUUUCUUCGGAACUGAAGAUUUGGUGAUUGAGUGGCGGACGGGUGAGUAACGCGUGGGUAACCUGCCCUGUACAGGGGGAUAACAGUCAGAAAUGACUGCUAAUACCGCAUAAGACCACAGCACCGCAUGGUGCAGGGGUAAAAACUCCGGUGGUACAGGAUGGACCCGCGUCUGAUUAGCUGGUUGGUGAGGUAACGGCUCACCAAGGCGACGAUCAGUAGCCGGCUUGAGAGAGUGAACGGCCACAUUGGGACUGAGACACGGCCCAAACUCCUACGGGAGGCAGCAGUGGGGAAUAUUGCACAAUGGGGGAAACCCUGAUGCAGCGACGCCGCGUGAGUGAAGAAGUAUUUCGGUAUGUAAAGCUCUAUCAGCAGGGAAGAAAAUGACGGUACCUGACUAAGAAGCCCCGGCUAACUACGUG
rnacentral:rRNA from 1 species